UGCGGUUAAAAAGCUCGUAGUUGGAUCUGUGUCCCGCGCCGCCGGUUCACCGCCUGUCGGUGUUAAACUGGCGUGUAUGCGGGACGUCCUGUCGGUGGCGGCCCGGGGCUUCGUCGGACCGUAGGAGGUGCCUUCGGCUCCUCCGAAGGCUGGCGUAUGUUUCCGGCCGCCUGGUCAAUCCCGUCGCGGUGCUCUUCACCGAGUGUCGAGGCGGGCCGGCACGUUUACUUUGAACAAAUUAGAGUGCUAUAAGCAGGCACAUUCACGCCUGUACCCUGUGUGCAUGGAAUAAUGGAAUAGGACCUCGAUUCUAUUUUGUUGGUUUUCGGAAUCUGAGGUAAUGAUCAAUGGGGACAGGCGGGGGCAUUCGUAUUGCGACGUUAGAGGUGAAAUUCUUGGAUCGUCGCAAGACGGACCUAAGCGAAAGCAUUUGCCAAGUAUGUUCCCGUCGAUCAAGAACGAAAGUUAGAGGUUCGAAGGCGAUCAGAUACCGCCCUAGUUCUAACGAUAAACUAUGCCUGCCAGCGAUCCGCCGGCGUUCCUCCGAUGACCCGGCGGGCAGCUUCCGGGAAACCAGAGCUUUUGGGUUCCGGGGGAAGUAUGGUUGCAAAGCUGAAACUUAAAGGAAUUGACGGAAGGGCACCACCAGGAGUGGAGCCUGCGGCUUAAUUUGACUCAACACGGGAAAACUCACCAGGCCCGGACACCGGAAGGAUUGACAGAUUGAGAGCUCUUUCUUGAUUCGGUGGGUGGUGGUGCAUGGCCGUUCUUAGUUGGUGGAGCGAUUUGUCUGGUUAAUUCCGAUAACGAACGAGACUCUAGCCUACUAAAUAGACGUAUCCGGUAUCCACAAUCGUGCUACCGGCGCGCAAAUUGCUUCUUAGAGGGACAGGCGGCUUCUAGCCGCACGAGACUGAGCAAUAACAGGUCUGUGAUGCCCUUAGAUGUCCUGGGCCGCACGCGCGCUACACUGAAGGAAUCAGCGUGUCUUCCCUGUCCGAGAGGACCGGGUAACCCGCUGAACCUCCUUUGUGCUAGGGAUUGGGGCAUGCAAUUGUGCCCCAUGAACGAGGAAUUCCCAGUAAGCGCGAGUCAUAAGCUCGCGUUGAUUACGUCCCUGCCCUUUGUACACACCGCCCGUCGCUACUACCGAUUGAAUGAUUUAGUGAGGUCUUCGGACUGGUACGCGGAUGCGGCGUCAGCUGCAUUCGAUGUUGUCGGAAAGAUGACCAAACUUGAUCAUUUAGAGGAAGUAAAAGUCGUAACAA
rnacentral:rRNA from 1 species